GACGAACGCUGGCGGCGUGCCUAACACAUGCAAGUCGAGCGGAGGAUUCGAGAUGUUUACAUCGAAGGAUCCUUAGCGGCGGACGGGUGAGUAACACGUGGGUAACCUGCCUCAGAGUGGGGGAUAGCCUUUCGAAAGGAAGAUUAAUACCGCAUAAGAUUGUAGCGUCACAUGGCGCAGCAAGAAAAGGAGCAAUCCGCUUUGAGAUGGACCCGCGGCGCAUUAGCUAGUUGGUGAGGUAACGGCUCACCAAGGCCACGAUGCGUAGCCGACCUGAGAGGGUGAUCGGCCACAUUGGAACUGAGACACGGUCCAGACUCCUACGGGAGCAGCAGUGGGGAAUAUUGCACAAUGGGCGAAAGCCUGAUGCAGCAACGCCGCGUGAGUGAUGAAGGCC
rnacentral:rRNA from 1 species